rnacentral:rRNA from 1 species
GGGAGGCAGCAGUAGGGCAUAUUGGACAAUGGGCGCAAGCCUGAUCCAGCAAUGCCGCGUGAGCGAUGAAGGCCUUAGGGUUGUAAAGCUCUUUUACCCGGGAUGAUAAUGACAGUACCGGGAGAAUAAGCUCCGGCUAACUCCGUGCCAGCAGCCGCGGUAA